GACGAACCGUGCGAACGUUGUUCGGAAUCACUGGGCUUAAAGGGCGCGUAGGCGGGUUUUCAAGUCUGUGGUGAAAGCCUCCAGCUUAACUGGAGAAGUGCCGUGGAUACUGGAGACCUCGAGGAGGGUAGGGGCAUCUGGAACAGCCGGUGGAGCGGUGAAAUGCGUAGAUAUCUGGAGGAACACCGGUGGCGAAGGCGGCAUCCUGGACCGACACUGACGCUGAGGAGCGAAAGCCAGGGGAGCAAACGGG
rnacentral:rRNA from 1 species